UUCAACUCGUUAGUCGUCAUUACGACGAUGGCACAAAUUUAAGGAUAUAAAUUUAACACAAGUAAUUUGUUAUUAGAGUGAUAAAGUAAGAUAAGAAUAAAAGGACUAUUUAAAUUUUUUCUUUGUCAUUCCUGACAAUUACUUUAAGAGUUUACCCAAUAGCAUACAUAAUACAUAUGUAUGUAUAUGUCACUACUGUCCCGUGAACAAUAAGAAGGAUACGACGACCUUUGGUGCCACUGUAGGUUCCACCAAGCAGCAGUGCCGUAAACACGGAACGUAGAAACGGUCAUAGAGCUUAGCUGUAGUCAUCUAACUACAGAUCAAACAUGGGCUGGCUCGACCGGGGAAGUACCAGCCUCUCACAGAAGUUCGGCGUGAAGUAGCCUUUAAUGGCUGCGUUUCGUCCGAUGAGUGAAAGCGCCGGUUGCCCUUUCCGUAUUACCACCUUUUCCUGUUAUUUCCUUUUUCUGACCCCUCCCUAUUUCUAAAAAACCAAGGUUGGCAACGCAUCCGCAACAAAGAUGUUGCGGAUGUCCAUGGGCGACGGAGGCUAUGCACAUGCGCACACGCAUACACACAUCCAAAACUCAACACACACAUCCACACAUUCACACCAUCAACCAAAUUCACACAUACCCACAUUCACGCACAAACACUAGCACACAAAACUUGUUAUAAUCAAAGACUCCUAAUGUUAAAAAUUUCAAAAUAUAUUUUAGUGUCACUACCUAAACCACAAAUUUUAGUUUAAUUAUAAAUGUUAAAAUAAUUAUUCCUUUAUAUACCUGAAGAUUUAUGUCAAAAUAUAUUUUAUUAUAUUUCGUUCUCAAUUUUUAUAAAUUAAUUAUUUAUUUCCACUCUGUGUUAUAUAAUUUUGUAAUAAAGAGUUGUCUCAUUUUGAGCCUAUGUUAUAUUUAAUAUGUACCAUUAAUAAAUUUAU